GAUGAACGCUGGCGGCGUGCCUAAUACAUGCAAGUCGAGCGAACGGACGAGAAGCUUGCUUCUCUGAUGUUAGCGGCGGACGGGUGAGUAACACGUGGAUAACCUACCUAUAAGACUGGGAUAACUUCGGGAAACCGGAGCUAAUACCGGAUAAUAUUUUGAACCGCAUGGUUCAAAAGUGAAAGACGGUCUUGCUGUCACUUAUAGAUGGAUCCGCGCUGCAUUAGCUAGUUGGUAAGGUAACGGCUUACCAAGGCAACGAUGCAUAGCCGACCUGAGAGGGUGAUCGGCCACACUGGAACUGGAACACGGUCCAGACUCCUACGGGAGGCAGCAGUAGGGAAUCUUCCGCAAUGGGCGAAAGCCUGACGGAGCAACGCCGCGUGAGUGAUGAAGGUCUUCGGAUCGUAAAACUCUGUUAUUAGGGAAGAACAUAUGUGUAAGUAACUGUGCACAGCUUGACGGUACCUAAUCAGAAAGCCACGGCUAACUACGUG
rnacentral:rRNA from 1 species